UACAGAGGGUGCGAGCGUUGUUCGGAAUUAUUGGGCGUAAAGGGCGCGUAGGCGGUGCGGUAAGUCACCUGUGAAAUCUCCUGGCUCAACUGGGAGCUUGCAGGCGAAACUGCCGUGCUGGAGUGUGGGAGAGGUGCGUGGAAUUCCUGGUGUAGCGGUGAAAUGCGUAGAUAUCUGGAGGAACACCGGUGGCGAAGGCGGCAUCCUGGACCGAUACUGACGCUGAGGAGCGAAAGCCAGGGGAGCAAACGGG
rnacentral:rRNA from 1 species